rnacentral:rRNA from 1 species
GAUGAACGCUGGCGGCGUGCCUAAUACAUGCAAGUCGAGCGAACGGACGAGAAGCUUGCUUCUCUGAUGUUAGCGGCGGACGGGUGAGUAACACGUGGAUAACCUACCUAUAAGACUGGGAUAACUUCGGGAAACCGGAGCUAAUACCGGAUAAUAUUAUGAACCGCAUGGUUCAAAAGUGAAAGACGGUCCUGCUGUCACUUAUAGAUGGAACCGCGCUGCAUGAGCUAGUUGGUAAGGUAACGGCUUACCAAGGCAACGAUGCAUAGGCGACCUGAGAGGGUUGUCGUCCACACUGGAACUGAGACACGGUCCACACUCCGACGGUAGGCAGCAGUAGGGAAUCUUCCGCGAUGGGCGAAUGCCUGACGGAGCAACGCCGCGUGAGUGAUGAAGGUCUUCUGAUCGUAAAACUCUGUUAUUAGGGAAGUACAUAUGUGUAAGUAACUGUGCACAUCUUGACGGUACCUAAUCAGAAAGCCACGGCUAACUACGUG